AAGGGAGACCUAAUUCGGGUAGAAGACGAAAAAAUAGUAGUCGAAACCAAGAAUCAAUCCCAAAAGGUCGGAACGAGGUAUGUGGCUUUCAAACUAGGCUCUGGGUUCACAAAAGACCUGAAUCAGGAACAAGGGCUAUUAGCUCAGGUGGUUAGAGCGCACCCCUGAUAAGGGUGAGGUCCCUGGUUCGAGUCCAGGAUGGCCCACCUGCACAGGUGGCAAAAACAAGAGAAACGAGGAAUCAGCACCUUAUCUUACUUACAUAGUAAGAGAGAAUGCUGGCUCUGAGUAAAGAGUCCAGAGGAACCUUGAAAACUGCAUAGAGCUAGGUGAAAAAGCCAAAAAAGAAGACCGCAA
rnacentral:tRNA from 1 species